rnacentral:lncRNA from 1 species
GGAAAAAGGAACUGUGGCAACUACAGAGCAAGUGCAAAUAAGUAAAUGGUUUACUUCAAGUUCUUUAGGAUAUGGAAGAACUUUAAGCUUUCUACCCUCAGAAUAUAAAUAACUAUAGUUUUUCAAAGAGCGCAGUCCUUCAUGAAUGGAGUACUCCAGCAUAGUCUUCACAAUCUGUAGAAACCUGCCAAAUCUCCUGCUCCUGCGUGGAAUUCUUUCCUCAGGAUGUGGGGCCUCCUCAGGAGACUGCUCCUGUAUGGGCUGCAGCUUCUUUCAGG